rnacentral:hammerhead_ribozyme from 1 species
AUCCAACUGACAAGUCUUAAAUAGGACGAAACGCAUGUCAAACUGGAU